AGUGAACGCUGGCGGUAGGCCUAACACAUGCAAGUCGAACGGCAGCACAGUAAGAGCUUGCUCUUACGGGUGGCGAGUGGCGGACGGGUGAGGAAUACAUCGGAAUCUACUUUUUCGUGGGGGAUAACGUAGGGAAACUUACGCUAAUACCGCAUACGACCUACGGGUGAAAGCAGGGGAUCUUCGGACCUUGCGCGAUUGAAUGAGCCGAUGUCGGAUUAGCUAGUUGGCGGGGUAAAGGCCCACCAAGGCGACGAUCCGUAGCUGGUCUGAGAGGAUGAUCAGCCACACUGGAACUGAGACACGGUCCAGACUCCUACGGGAGGCAGCAGUGGGGAAUAUUGGACAAUGGGCGCAAGCCUGAUCCAGCCAGACCGCGUGGGUGAAGAAGGCCUUCGGGUUGUAAAGCCCUUUUGUUGGGAAAGAAAAGCAGUAGGUUAAUACCCCGCUGUUCUGACGGUACCCAAAGAAUAAGCACCGGCUAACUUCGUG
rnacentral:rRNA from 1 species